rnacentral:rRNA from 1 species
CCUACGGGAGGCUGCAGUGGGGAAUAUUGGACAAUGGGGGGAACCCUGAUCCAGCCAUGCCGCGUGUGUGAAGAAGGCCCUCGGGUUGUAAAGCACUUUCAGUGAGGAAGAACGCCUGGUGGUUAAUACCCAUCAGGAAAGACAUCACUCACAGAAGAAGCACCGGCUAACUCCGUGCCAGCAGCCGCGGUAAUACGGAGGGUGCGAGCGUUAAUCGGAAUUAUUGGGCGUAAAGCGCGCGUAGGUGGCUUGAUAAGCCGGUUGUGAAAGCCCCGGGCUCAACCUGGGAACGGCAUCCGGAACUGUCAAGCUAGAGUGCAGGAGAGGAAGGUAGAAUUCCCGGUGUAGCGGUGAAAUGCGUAGAGAUCGGGAGGAAUACCAGUGGCGAAGGCGGCCUUCUGGACUGACACUGACACUGAGGUGCGAAAGCGUGGGUAGCAAACAGGAUUAGAUACCCCAGUAGUC